rnacentral:lncRNA from 1 species
CCGGAGCCUGCCUGGCGGCUGCCUCCCUCCCCCUUCCCUGGAGCCCGCCAGCCCGGCCCCAAGUCCCUGUCACCUUCGGGCCUCUUGAAUGGCCGGCGUGGAAGAGCGCCCCCCACCCCAGUCCACCCCCCGUCCUGUACUUGGAAGGGGAUUGAGGUCGAGACCUUUUGGAGAGGGGGCAAAGCCCCUUCCAUCUCCAGCCAGGCACGUGGGGAGACCCACAGCCCCUCCUGCGCAGUCUCCGAGGACCCUGGAACAAAGCGGACACCUACGCAAAAACGUGUGUGGUUCCAGCCUAAAUGGAGUUCCGGGACUCCAUUACCCUGGAAGGCAGAGGCCAACACAUCAACAGCACAUGAAGAUUCACGAGCCCUUAAAGAAACGUCUUCGACAUUGCAGAAUGUUCAAGGGGAGACGGACGCUUUCUCUUUCCUCCCCUCCGAUAAAAUAGGACCCCGGAGAAGCCCCCUCAUCACCCUGAGUCCUGACUAAAUAAAUCCCUUUUGGUCAGUACUUGGCCACUUAAGGGAUGAUUUUCUUCCUGGCGCCAAAGCAAGAUGGAUUUCAAACAAAAUGAUGCAAGCUGAGGCUCCCCACUUCUCCCCACCCCUCCCCCCCAUCUCGGCCCCAAAUCUACAAAUUCCCCAUCAACCUCUGCUUACUGCAGACUUUCUCCCAGGCACAUCCCAAGAAAAGCGUCCAUGGUGAGACCAGUGUUUGCCGACAGCCUCAGGGAGCUGCACACAUGGCGC